UAGAACAUAGUGUUAAUGCAUUGGAUCCCAUUAGAACUCCACAGUUAAGCGCGCUCAUGCUAGAGUUGUACUAGGAUGGGUGAUUGCUUGGGAAGUCCUAGUGUUUUAC
rnacentral:rRNA from 1 species